GUUGAGAACUGUUCUGCGCAUGUGUCCUGGGAUUACUAGAUUGCGCCUACUUUGUCAUCCAGUUUUAGCCAUACCCUACCUUCCUACCUCAGUAGGAUAUGAUUUGGUGAUUCUAUAUGCUAACCUGUAGAGGAGAGUCUGUAUUAGGAAAGACGUGGAGAAGAACUGCGUUUCUCCUCUGCUAUGCAUUAGAACUCUAGGAAGAAAGUGACAAAUUCAAAGAUGGAGAUAGAAUGAAGCUAAAGAACAAUCACUUGCCUGAGGCCAUUUGAGGAAAAAAACCAAGAAGGGCCUAGAACAGUGCCUGGCACAUAAUGUGCAGUAAAUAUUUAUUGAAUGGAUGAAGGAAUACAUGAACACUUUCACUUCACCACUAGAGCAUGGACAUCUAUGCCGUAUGUGGAAGUUGAGCUCUCCUGCUGGAGAGGCCAUGGAAGAAAAUCAAGGUGCUCUCAUUGACAGCCCAAUUGUCAGCCAUGUGAGCAAGACUGUCCAGGUCCAACCAGCCACCAGUUGACCCACCGAGAUCUGCCAACAGAUUGGAAAUGCCACACGAGUC
rnacentral:lncRNA from 1 species